UGGGAAUAUUGGACAAUGGGGGCAACCCUGAUCCAGCCAUGCCGCGUGAGUGAUGAAGGCCUUAGGGUUGUAAAGCUCUUUCACCCGGGACGAUAAUGACGGUACCGGGAGAAGAAGCCCCGGCUAACUUCGUGCCAGCAGCCGCGGUAAUACGAAGGGGGCUAGCGUUGUUCGGAAUCACUGGGCGUAAAGCGCACGUAGGCGGACCGUUAAGUCGGAGGUGAAAUCCUGGGGCUCAACCCCAGAACUGCCUUCGAUACUGGCGGUCUCGAGUCCGGAAGAGGUGAUGGAACUGCCAGUGUAGAGGUGAAAUUCGUAGAUAUUGGCAAGAACACCAGUGGCGAAGGCGGCUCACUGGUCCGGUACUGAUGCUGAGGUGCGAAAGCGUGGGGAGCAAAACAGGAUUAGAUACCCUGGUAGUCCACGCCGUAAACGAUGAAUGCCAGCCGUCGGGCAGCAUGCUGUUCGGUGGCGCAGCUAACGCUUUAAGCAUUCCGCCUGGGGGAGUACGGUCGCAAGAUUAAAAACUCAAAUGAAUUGACGGGGUCAUAGCUGUUUCCU
rnacentral:rRNA from 1 species